rnacentral:rRNA from 1 species
AUUGAACGCUGGCGGCAUGCUUUACACAUGCAAGUCGAACGGUAACAGGCCGCAAGGUGCUGACGAGUGGCGAACGGGUGAGUAAUGCAUCGGAACGUGCCCAGUCGUGGGGGAUAACGCAGCGAAAGCUGUGCUAAUACCGCAUACGAUCUGUGGAUGAAAGCGGGGGACCGAAAGGCCUCGCGCGAUUGGAGCGGCCAAUGUCAGAUUAGGUAGUUGGUGGGGUAAAGGCUCACCAAGCCAACGAUCUGUAGCUGGCCUGAGAGGACGACCAGCCACACUGGGACUGAGACACGGCCCAGACUCCUACGGGAGGCAGCAGUGGGGAAUUUUGGACAAUGGGCGCAAGCCUGAUCCAGCAAUGCCGCGUGCAGGAAGAAGGCCUUCGGGUUGUAAACUGCUUUUGUACGGAGCGAAAAGGCUCUCUCUAAUACAGGGGGCUCAUGACGGUACCGUAAGAAUAAGCACCGGCUAACUACGUGCCAGCCGCCGCCGUAACAC